UGGGGAAUAUUGGACAAUGGGGGAAACCCUGAUCCAGCAAUGCCGCGUGAGUGAUGAAGGCUUUCGGGUGGUAAACCUCUUUGGACGGGGACGAUAAUGACGGUACCCGUGGAAGAAGCUCCGGCUAACUUCGUGCCGGCAGCCGCGGUAAUACGAAGGGGGUUAGCGUUGUUCGGAUUUACGGGGCGUAAAGCGCGCGCAGGCGGCUAUCCAAGUCAGUGGUGAAAGCCCGGAGCUCAACUCCGGAACUGCCAUUGAAACUGUUUAGCUUGAGGACGAGAGAGGUGAGUGGAAUUCCCAGUGUAGAGGUGAAAUUCGUAGAUAUUGGGAAGAACACCAGUGGCGAAGGCGGCUCACUGGCUCGUAUCUGACGCUCAGGCGCGAUAGCGUGGGGAUCAAACA
rnacentral:rRNA from 1 species